GAUGAACGCUGGCGGUGUGCCUAAUACAUGCAAGUCGAGCGAACAGACGAGGAGCUUGCUCCUUUGACGUUAGCGGCGGACGGGUGAGUAACACGUGGGUAACCUACCUAUAAGACUGGGAUAACUUCGGGAAACCGGAGCUAAUACCGGAUAAUAUUUCGAACCGCAUGGUUCGAUAGUGAAAGAUGGCUCUGCUAUCACUUAUAGAUGGACCUGCGCCGUAUUAGCUAGUUGGUAAGGUAACGGCUUACCAAGGCAACGAUACGUAGCCGACCUGAGAGGGUGAUCGGCCACACUGGAACUGAGACACGGUCCAGACUCCUACGGGAGGCAGCAGUAGGGAAUCUUCCGCAAUGGGCGAAAGCCUGACGGAGCAACGCCGCGUGAGUGAUGAAGGUCUUCGGAUCGUAAAACUCUGUUAUUAGGGAAGAACAAACGUGUAAGUAACUGUGCACGUCUUGACGGUACCUAAUCAGAAAGCCACGGCUAACUACGUG
rnacentral:rRNA from 1 species